rnacentral:rRNA from 1 species
AUUGAACGCUGGCGGCAUGCUUUACACAUGCAAGUCGAACGGUAACAGGCCGCAAGGUGCUGACGAGUGGCGAACGGGUGAGUAAUGCAUCGGAACGUGCCCAGUCGUGGGGGAUAACUACUCGAAAGAGUAGCUAAUACCGCAUACGAUCUAUGGAUGAAAGCGGGGGACCGUAAGGCCUCGCGCGAUUGGAGCGGCCGAUGUCAGAUUAGGUAGUUGGUGGGGUAAAGGCUCACCAAGCCAACGAUCUGUAGCUGGUCUGAGAGGACGACCAGCCACACUGGGACUGAGACACGGCCCAGACUCCUACGGGAGGCAGCAGUGGGGAAUUUUGGACAAUGGGCGCAAGCCUGAUCAAGCAAUGCCGCGUGCAGGAAGAAGGCCUUCGGGUUGUAAACUGCUUUUGUACGGAACGAAACGGCUCUGGUUAAUACCCGGGGCUAAUGACGGUACCGUAAGAAUAAGCACCGGCUAACUACGUG